rnacentral:lncRNA from 1 species
UCUGCGUGUGUGACACACUGAACCAGCUGCCUGUUCUGUUUGUCACAUGACUCGCUUUUUAAACUCCAUAAGGAUCAUUGUUCCAUGUGUUUAUUAAUUCCUUGAAAAAAAAAUUGUGGACAUAUCAAGGAGUGGAAAAGAUUAGAAAAAAUUGUCUAAAGUCAUUCGUAUAUAAGACCUGUGUCUUCUAACAUAAUUUUUAUUCUUAAGUUUGGUGAACUACACUCAUAGACAGCAGACGAUAAUGAACACACGUGAGUUCUAGUGCUCCCAACAGCACGGGGUGCCUUCUGUGACAGGGUUGGCAUUUACGGGGGCAGCACAUACAGCUAAAACUCUUAAAUCAUGAGGCACAGAGACAAAUAAGAAAGUGUGGUUUCGUUUUUGUUUUUCUUUUUUACCUCAGGAGGAGGACCACCUCGCCCGGGUGGAGGAGGCGGUCACCCGAAUGCUCGUGUGCACACUGAAGACCGCAGAGGACCCGCACCACCCCAGGACCUGGCUGAACCCCACUGAGGUAUGUAUGGUGGCCAGGUGCCCCGGCCAGCUCUCGGUGUUGAUGUUGAUGGUGAGUCGGUCCGGCUGGUCUCCAGCGCCAUGUUGAAGGGUUCUUUUCUCCCUAGGUUGAGGAAACGUCUCAUGAAGUCAAUAGCUGCUACUUGAACAGUGCUGUCUGUGCAUUUUUUGAUCAUUGUGAAAGAGCUAAAGAAGUAGAAAUGCAAGCUCCGAGAGCAAACGGGGAGGAGCCGGGUGUGCAGGAGCACAUGGAAGUGGAGCAGGCGCGCGACCCGAGCUCCGAUGUGGGGGCUGGGAAACAGGAGGCCGCGAGUCCGUUUGGCCCAGAUCUGGUUCCUGUGACACCAGCAUCGGAAGAGAGAGGAGGCGCACUGGAAGGAGACAGCCAGGAGUGUACCAGCAGAAACGGAGAACACUGUGCAGAACUGCCCUGCGCCAGGAGGCAGCAAGCCAGUAAAGGAGCACGCGCGGAGGCAGGGCAGUCGGCCCCGAGGUAUCCUGUGGCGCCUUCUAGAGUCUUCGUGUCCACGGAUGACCUGCUGGACUGCUUAGUCAAUCCACAAGUAACCAGGAUGGUGGCCCAGCUUUUGAUACAAGGAAAAAGCUUGUGAUACUUUUUAAAUAACUUUUUAAUUACUUUUAAAUAACC